rfam:Kluyvera intestini strain GT-16 tig00000000, whole genome shotgun sequence.
UAUGGCUGGCGCGGGUGUCCGUGCAGCGAACCUGAUGCGUUUUCUUGACGCAGGCGUGAAAGAAGUUCACAGCUCUGCGGGUAUCUGGACACCAUCGCCCAUGCGUUAUCGCAAUACAGGAUUGUCCAUGUCGUCGGACGCCGCCGCGGAUGAGUAUUCGCGCUAUGGUGUGGACGGCGAGGCAGUGGCGGUGAUGAAGACAAUGAUUGUUCAGCAUCGCCCAUAACCGGUUUUUACCGCGCAUCAUGUCGCCCAAUAUGAUGCUUGCUCGUACCGGUGCCCCUGCCAUUAACAGGGGCCUUUUUUU